rnacentral:rRNA from 1 species
UACAGAGGUCCCAAGCGUUGUUCGGAUUCACUGGGCGUAAAGGGUGCGCAGGCGGUCUGGUAAGUUCGAUGUGAAAGCCCCGGGCUUAACCCGGGAAAGGCAUUGGAUACUGCUGGUCUGGAGGAUUGGAGGGGGGACUGGAAUUCUUGGUGUAGCAGUGAAAUGCGUAGAUAUCAAGAGGAACACCGGUGGCGAAGGCGGUUCUCUGGGCAUGUACUGACGCUGAGGAGCGAAAGCGUGGGGAGCGAACAGG